GUGCAGCAGGCGCGAAACUUCACACUGUGCGAAAGCACGAUGAGGGAAUCCCAAGUGCUUGCACGUAAGUGUAAGCUGUUUCUCUGUCUAAAACGCAGAGAGAGUAAGGGCUGGGUAAGACGGGUGCCAGCCGCCGCGGUAAUACCUGCAGCUCAAGUGGUGACCGUUAUUAUUGGGCCUAAAACGUCCGUAGCCGGUUUAAUAAAUGCCUGGGUAAAUUGUGUAGCUUAACUAUACGAAUUCCGGGUAGACUGUUAAACUUGAGACCGGGAGAAGUUAGAGGUACUCCUGGGGUAGAGGUGAAAAUUCUGUAAUCCUAGGGGGACCACCAGUGGCGAAGGCGUCUAACUAGAACGGGUCUGACGGUGAGGGACGAAGCCCCGGGGCGCAAACGGGAUUAGAUACCCCUGUAGU
rnacentral:rRNA from 1 species